rnacentral:lncRNA from 1 species
UUUGGUGCUGCGAAGAGAGUUGCUGAAUUGGUUGGGAAGAGGCCUUAUUUUAGCACUGAGGAGCAUGAUGUGUGUCAGAUUCUAAAUUUUGCAGAAGAAGAAGGGUGGUGAAUUGAUCAAUGAUUCAAGGUUUUAUACAUCACUGAUUAGAAUGAUGAUUGUUGGGUUCUAAAUUUUGUAGAAGAAGAAUGAGAAUGGAUUAAUCAAUGAUCCAAGGUUCUAAAUUGCAAUCGCAUAUUCAGAUUAUUGUGAGCCAGUUAGCUAUCGGCUCACAAGAGUUGUGGUAUAAUAUGGAAUGGUAAUGAUUUUCUUUGGUUUGGUAUUUUUUUUACCUGGUAUAGACAGAACUUCCUAAGUUCUGAUUGAAUUUUGCGAGCUGAACCACGAGGUGAAAGUGCUUUGGUUGGUUUGUAGUUGCUCUUUUAUAUGUUGCUAAAUAAUGAGUAAACAUGUAUGGUUCUUUCAAGCUGUAUAUCAUGUUAUUAUAUUCCUAGUCAUUUGAUAUGGUUGGAUGAGUGUGCAUAGUCUGUUUGAUUUCUCUGUAGAGGGUGUUUCUUCUUUCUUAGAAGAUUUUUUUGGGUUUUUUUAAACUUUGUGUAGUUUGUCUUCUAUUCCGUUUUUGAAGGCUAGAUCAAAUGGCAGAAGGAAAAUUUGUGUUUUGAUUAGGAUGCGAAAGAAAAGCAGUCAAUCAUGUUAAAUUUACCAUGUUUCAUGUUUUAUGUUUAGGAGGUGUAAAGGCAUCUCUUUCGGCACAAAAAUGUCCUUUAGACAAUAUAAGAUGGAGACCUGUGUGUGCUAAUUACAAACUGUGUCAGUUUCCAUUAAGAAAGCAAUUUUGCUGAUAUUAUUACAAACUGGUUGUUGAAUGUUGCAGGAUACAUUACUACUAACUAAUGGUGAGCUAGACACAAUUGUUGAAGCUUUGAGCACAACAAGUUCUCACAUUCAGUAAGUGGUUGGAAUUUUGUCAAUCCAUUACCCUUUUGCUAUUUGAACUAAUUUUU